GCAAUUGAUCCUGGCUCAUCACGAACGCUGGCGCUCUGCCUAACACAUGCAAGUCGAACGAACCCUUCGGGGUGAGUGGCGCACGGGUGCGUAUGUCGUGGGAACCUGCCUUUAGGUUCGGAAUAACAGUUAGAAAUGACUGCUAAUCCCGGAUAAUGUCUUCGGACCAAAGAUUUAUUGCCUUUAGAUGGGCCCGCGUUGGAUUAGAUAGUUGGUGGGCAGAUGGCCUACCAAGUCGACGAUCCAUAGCUGGUCUGAGAGGAUGAUCAGCCACACUGGGACUGAGACACGGCCCAGACUGCUACGGGAGGCAGCAGUGGGGAAUAUUGGACAAUGGGCGAAAGCCUGAUCCAGCAAUGCCGCGUGAGUGAUGAAGGCCUUAGGGUUUCAAAGCUCUUUUACCAGGGAUGAUAAUGACAGUACCUGGAGAAUAAGCUCCGGCUAAGACCGUGCCAGCAGCCGCGGUAAUACGGAGGGAGCUAGCGUUGUAGGGAAUUACUGGGCGUAAAGCGCACGUAGGCGGCUUCUCAAGUCAGGGGUGAAAUCCCGGGGCUCAACCCGAGAACUGCCCUUGAAACUGGAUGGCUAGAAUACUGGAGAGGUGAGUGGAAUUCCGAGUGUAGAGGACAAAUUCGUAGAUAUUCGGAAGAACACCAGUGGCGAAGGCGACUCACUGUACAGUUAUUGACGCUGAGGUGCGAAAGCGUGGGGAUUAAACAGGAUUAGAUACCCUGGUAGUCCACGCCGUAAAAUAUGAUAACUAGCUGUCCGGGCUCAUGGAGCUUGUCUGGCGCAGCUAACGCAUUAAGUUAUCCGCCUGGGGAGUACGGUCGCAAGAUUAGUACUCAAAGGAAUUGACGGGCGCCUGCACKAGCGGUGGAGCAUGUGGUUUAAUAAGAAGCAACGCGCAGAACCUUACCAGCCUUUGACAUCCUAGGACGACUUCUGGAGAAUUUCUUCCCUUCGGGGACCUAGUGACAGGUGCUGCAUGGCUGUCGUACGCUCGUGUCGUGAGAUGUGGGUUGAAGUCCCGCAACGAGUACAACCCUCGUCCUUUGUUGCCAUCAUUUAGUUGACCACUUUAAGGAUACUGCCGGUGAUAAGCCGGAGGAAGGUGGGGAUGACGUGAAGUCCUCAUGGCCCAGACAGGCUGGGCUACACACGUGCUACAAUGGCAUCUACAUUGAGCAGCGAUCCCGCGAGGGUUAGCUAAUCUCCAAAAGAUGUCUCAGUUCGGAUUGUUCUCUGCAACUCGAGAGCAUGAAGGCAGAAUCGCUAGCAAUCGCGGAUCAGCAUGCCGCGGUGAAUACGUUCCCAGGCCUUGUACACAUCGCCCGUGACACCAUGGGAGUUGGAUUCACCCGAAGGCGGUGAGCUAACCUUUACGGAGGCAGCCGACCACGGUGGGUCCAGCGACUGGGGUGAACUCGUAGUAAGGUAAUGGUAGGGGAACCUGCGGCUGGCAGACCUCCCCAGA
rnacentral:rRNA from 1 species